GUGUUGUUUUCUGAUCAUCAAGAAUAGAA
rnacentral:piRNA from 1 species